AUCAGCAGCUUUUCCCACUAAUUAAAUAUUCACUUAAUUCGCACGAUUCAUUUUGACACCAUCUAUUUAAAUAUUGUAUAUUGUAAUUGUCAUGACCACCCUAUUGCGGUUCUGAUAAUAUGUUAUUGGCUCAUAUGGGCCACAGUUUUAGGAGGAAUAAAAAGAUGCAAACUGGUAAAGUAAAAUGGUUUAACAACGAAAAAGGCUUUGGAUUCAUCGAGGUUGAAGGCGGAGACGAUGUAUUCGUACACUUCACUGCUAUCCAAGGCGAAGGCUACAAAUCCUUGAACGAAGGCGAAGAAGUAACUUUCGAAAUCGUCGAUGGAGAAAGAGGACCGCAAGCAGCGAACGUUCAAAAAGCUCAAUAACUACUUAAUAAGCAAACAGCCGCCAUACUUCCAUAUGGCGGCUUUUC
rnacentral:sRNA from 1 species